CAGCCACGCCGCCCUGAACACGCCCCAUCUCCUCUGAUCUUGGAGCUAAGCAGGGUCGGGCCUGGUUAGUCCUUGGAUGGGAGGGCUUUCCUUCUGACUCUCUGUGGUCCCCUGCGAUGCUAGGUAACUG
rnacentral:rRNA from 1 species